AUUGAACGCUGGCGGCAGGCCUAACACAUGCAAGUCGAGCGAGCGGCGGACGGGUGAGUAAUGUAUGGGGACUGCCCGAUAGAGGGGGUUAACUCCUGGAAACGGUGGCUACUACCGCAUAAUAUCGGAUUACCCAGAUGGGAUUAGCUAGUAGGUAAGGUAAUGGCUUACCUAGGCGACGAUCCCUCGCUGGUCUGAGAGGAUGAUCAGCCACACUGCGAGUGAGACACGGUCCAGACUCCUACGGAGGCAGCAGUGGGGAAUAUUGCACAAUGGGCGAAAGCCUGAUGCAGCCAUUCCGCGUGUAUGAAGAAGGCCCUAGGGUUGUAAAGUACUUUCAGUCGGGAGGCGUUACCGACAGAAGAAGCACCGGCUAACACCGUGCCAGCAGCCGCGGUAAUUC
rnacentral:rRNA from 1 species